rnacentral:rRNA from 1 species
UACGGGGGGGGCAAGCGUUGUUCGGAAUUACUGGGCGUAAAGGGUUCGUAGGUGGCUUGUUAAGUCAGACGUGAAAUCCCUCGGCUCAACCGGGGAACUGCGUCUGAGACUGAUGAGCUCGAGUGCAGGAGAGGAACGCGGAAUUCCAGGUGUAGCGGUGAAAUGCGCAGAUAUCAGGAGGAACACCGGUGGCGAAGGCGGGUCUCUGGGCCGAUACUGACGCUGAGGAGCGAAAGCGUGGGGAGCAAACAGG